GUCCUAGCCCUAAACGGUGCACGUUUGCUGUGAGAGGAAUCGACCCCUUUCGUGGCGAAGCUAACGCGUUAAACGUGCCGCCUGGGAAGUACGGUCGCAAGAUUAAAACUCAAAGAAAUUGACGGGGGCCUGCACAAGCGGUGGAGUAUGUGGCUUAAUUCGAUGCAACGCGAAGAACCUUACCUGGCCUUGACAUGUAUCUAGUAGAAGGGUGAAAGCCUGACGAGGUAGCAAUACCAGGAUACACAGGUGCUGCAUGGCUGUCGU
rnacentral:rRNA from 1 species